AUACGGGGGGAGCAAGCGUUGUCCGGAAUCACUGGGCGUAAAGGGCGGGUAGGCGGGUUGGUCAGUCAGAUGUGAAAGCCUGCGGCUUAACCGUAGAAAUGCAUUUGAAACUGCCGGCCUUGAGUGCGAGAGAGGGUAGUGGAAUUCCCAGUGUAGCGGUGAAAUGCGUAGAUAUUGGGAAGAACACCAGUAGCGAAGGCGGCUACCUGGCUCGCAACUGACGCUAAUGCGCGAAAGCGUGGGGAGCGAACAGGAUUAGAUACCCCAGUAGUCC
rnacentral:rRNA from 1 species